GUACACUCCUGCGGGAGGCAGCAGUGGGGAAUAUUGCACAAUGGGCGCAAGCCUGAUGCAGCGACGCCGCGUGGGGGAUGAAGGCCUUCGGGUUGUAAACUCCUUUCGCUAGGGACGAAGCUUUUUUGUGACGGUACCUAGAUAAGAAGCACCGGCUAACUACGUGCCAGCAGCCGCGGUAAUACGUAGGGUGCGAGCGUUGUCCGGAAUUACUGGGCGUAAAGGGCUCGUAGGUGGUUUGUCGCGUCGUCUGUGAAAUUCUGGGGCUUAACUCCGGGCGUGCAGGCGAUACGGGCAUAACUUGAGUGCUGUAGGGGUAACUGGAAUUCCUGGUGUAGCGGUGAAAUGCGCAGAUAUCAGGAGGAACACCGAUGGCGAAGGCAGGUUACUGGGCAGUUACUGACGCUGAGGAGCGAAAGCAUGGGUAGCGAACAGGAUUAGAUACCCUAGUAGUCC
rnacentral:rRNA from 1 species